CCGUGUAAUACUCACUCUAAUAC
rnacentral:piRNA from 1 species